rnacentral:tRNA from 1 species
AAAAAUUAGUUAAAUUAUAACAUUAGUAUGUCAAACUAAAAUUAUUAAAUCUUUAAUAUUUUUUA